AUGACUCUCGGCAAUGGAUAUCUUGGCUCUUGCAUCGAUGAARAGCGCASCGAAAUGCGAUACGKGGUGUGAAUUGCARAAUCCCGUGAACCAUCAAGUCUUUGAACGCAAGUUGCGCCCGAGGCCAAUUGGCUAAGGGCACGUCCGCCUGGGCGUCAAG
rnacentral:rRNA from 1 species